AUGUGGGUUGUCAGAGUUCUGGGGUGUGUGACAGUGUGCUCGAUCUGCUGCUGGAGAAGAAGGCGGAGGUGGGCGAGACUAAAUAGGAGGGGCGGAAAAAGACGGAUAAGGAGUGACAUGGGCCGGCGACGGCGUGAAGGGCAAGAGACGCGCACACGGGGAAGCAAGCAAAGCUAUCGCCGUAGCGCACGCGUGCGGUUAGACGUGAGGGUGUUCUGGGGAUUUCGCAGGUCUCGGGGCUCCGGAGCCGUUGGGACGGGAGGGAGGAGGGCGAUGGCAACGGUCGGUCGUUUGUGCAAGCUGUGA
rnacentral:rRNA from 1 species